rnacentral:rRNA from 1 species
GGUAAUUCCAGCUCCAAUAGCGUAUAUUAAAGUUGUUGCAGUUAAAAAGCUCGUAGUUGAAUUUCGGGGUUAGUAGGUUGGUCAUGCCUCUGGUAUGUACUGGUCUCACUGAUUCCUCCUUCCUGAUGAACCGCAAUGCCAUUAAUUUGGUGUUGCGGGGAAUUUGGACUGUUACUUUGAAAAAAUUAGAGUGUUUAAAGCAGGCAUUAGCUUGAAUACAUUAGCAUGGAAUAAUGAAAUAGGACGUUUGAUCUUAUUUUGUUGGUUUCUAGGAUCGACGUAAUGAUUAAUAGGGAUAGUUGGGGGCAUUAGUAUUCAAUUGUCAGAGGUGAAAUUCUUGGAUUUAUUGAAGACUAACUACUGCGAAAGCAUUUGCCAAGGAUGUUUUCAUUAAUCAAGAACGAAAGUUAGGGGAUCGAAGACGAUCAGAUACCGUCGUAGUCUUAACCAUAAACUAUGCCGACUAGGGAUCGGAUGAUGU